rnacentral:rRNA from 1 species
UUGAACGCUGGCGGCAUGCCUUACACCUGCCAGUCGAACGGCAGCACGGGUGCUUGCACCUGGUGGCGCGUGGCGAACGGGUGAGUAAUACAUCGGAACAUGUCCUGUAGUGGGGGAUAGCCCGGCGAAAGCCGGAUUAAUACCGCAUACGAUCUACGGAUGAAAGCGGGGGACCUUCGGGCCUCGCGCUAUAGGGUUGGCCGAUGGCUGAUUAGCUAGUUGGUGGGGUAAAGGCCUACCAAGGCGACGAUCAGUAGCUGGUCUGAGAGGACGACCAGCCACACUGGGACUGAGACACGGCCCAGACUCCUACGGGAGGCAGCAGUGGGGAAUUUUGGACAAUAGGCGAAAGCCUGAUCCAGCAAUGCCGCGUGUGUGAAGAAGGCCUUCGGGUUGUAAAGCACUUUUGUCCGGAAAGAAAUCCUUGGCCCUAAUACGGUCGGGGGGAUGACGGUACCGGAAGAAUAAGCACCGGCUAACUACGUG